CUUAUCUCUUAUAAAAUCAUACAGGAAACAUUAUCAAACAUAAAAUGAUGUUUGACUUUCUUUAUUCUAAAAACUAAUAAAAAUAGGUGCUAAAAAUUUUCCAAAUGAAAAUAAAUAUUGCUAAACCAAAGAGAAAUGUUAUCUAAGCCCCGUAUAAAAAAUAAAUAAAUCUUGUUCCAAUUGCAUCAAAAAACCCAUUAAGGGCCCUCCAGCACAGGGUUAAUACCAACGAGUUUCCACCUCCAGCUGCUCCUAGAGUGGCCACAGCAUGAGCCAUCUGGUGGGGGACCUAGCCGCCAACAGACACUUCCUGUACAGGGGAGGGGGGAGGGGGCCAGGCAGCCGUUAGACAGCACAACCGAACCCAACACCGGGGCCCAACGGCAGGGGCUUGGGCAGGAGCAAGGUCCGAGGGCUGCCAGGUCCACGCUGCUUUUAUGAGCUGUAACACUCACCGCGAAGAUCUGCAGCUUCACUCCUGAGCCCAGCGAGACCACGAGCCCACCGGGAGGAACAAACAACUCCAGACGCGCUGCCUUAAGAGCUGUAACACUUGCCGUGAAGGUCUGCAGCUUCACUCCUGAGCCAGCGAGACCACGAACCCACCAGAAGGAAGAAACUCCGAACACAUCUCAACAUCAGAACGGACAGACUCCAGACGCACCACCUUAAGAGCUGUAACACUCACCGCGAGGUUCCGCGGCUUCAUUCUUGAAGUCAGUAAGACCAAGAACCCACCAAUUCCGGACACAGUAGCAUUUGGGAAUAAUAAGAAUUGUAGCUGGGCAUGGUGGUACACGCCUGUAGACCCCUAGCAGCUGCCAUCAUCCUCACCAUCCGCAUAUUAUUGAUAUAUUAACUCUUUGAUGGCAACCAUAGCUUAUCCCCCUUAUCUCCCUAUGCCCUACAGCAGGGCAGUGGAAUGGUUAAGAGGCUUUGAAGUCUAAGAGUGCUGGCUUAAAACCCUAAUUUGUCAUUUUGGAUGUGUGGCUUUGGACACUUGGGGCAGGUCACCUAUGUUCUUCAAGCCCUGUAUCCUUAUCUGUCAGAUGAUGAUUUUUUUUUUUUUAGACGAAGUCUCACUCUCUUGCCCGGGCUGGAGUGCAGUGGCAUGAUCUCGGCUUACUGCAAGCUCCACCUCCCGGGUUGACGCCAUUCUCCUGCCUCAGCUUCCUGAGUAGCUGGGACUACAGGCUCCUGCCACCACCCGUGGCUAAUUUUUUUGUAUUUUUAGUAGAGACAGGGUUUCACCAUGUUAGCCAGGAUGGUCUCGAUCUCCUGACCUCGUGAUCUGCCCGCCCCAGCCUCCCAAAGUAUCAGAUGAUUUUAACAACUAUGCUUCCAUGACUUGCUGGGCUAGAUGAUAUGACUGUAAAAUGCCUAACCCAUGGUUUAGCAUCAAGUAAGCAAAUUGUAAAUGGUAGCACUGCUCUGCCUAUGACUAUUUAGUCUUGUGCUUUAAACUCAAAUAUUUGUUGGCCUACUGAAGUCACCACACAGAGAAAGAUGCUUUUCAUUCUCAGUAAAGAACUUUGGGAGAUAACUGGGGCAGGCAGCAAGAGAACAGAUGUCAUAUGUCUAGCAUCAGCAAACUCAUCAGAACUGAUGGGCAGCUCACUUUGCUUAGAACCUGCACCAGCAUACACACGGGGCUGCUUCCCAGUCACACUGCUCCUGGGAAGGUAGGGGGGCUGCUGUUCUGCAAUUAGCGCGGUUCUUUACCUCCUAUUACCGAACUGCCAGAGUUCAUUUGUGUUCAGUUAGGUAGAUGACCAAUUCUUGUUCAUUCCUAUUUUCUUUUGCUCACUAAUGUGUUUAACGUUCACUAACCUACCAAAUGUGAUUUAUUAGCGACUUUUUCUUUGAAGAUGGAGUGGAGGAAUCCUAGCGCUUUCUGCAACAUGCUACUGCUGUUAUGGAACAGUGCAGAUAUGGAAGUGCAUCAGCCGGGGAUGGGGAGAGGCUAGGGCAGUACAUGUGAAUGGAGAGGUAGCCCCACCAGUGUGUUUUCUGAAAUACAGUCCCGCAGAGGGCAGUCUUGGGAAAUUACUGUUCUCACACACUCUUCUUGACCCUACCCCUCCAGCACCUCCCUUGCUAUCCAAGGGUUGGGAUUUUUAAAAAGAAAAACAAAUUUUAAAAAAAGCAGUGUGAAUCUUUUGCCAUCUUGUAAGGGUGAAAAGCCCCCUACCAAGUCGGGAUGAACAUUCAUGCGUGUGCUUGAGGGCUUGGGAAAAAGACAGGGCUUGGCCCCACAGUGCAGGUAGGCCCAGUGAUCCUAUAAUAGGGGCCAGGAGAUGGGAGGUCCCCUGUGGGCAGGAGUUCAAGUAUGUGGUAUUAUAUGACUGGUGCUUGAUGAACCCAGGGAGAGGGCACCAAAAACAAUGGUAUUUAAUUGUAAAAUCUCCACCCCCUGAGGAUAUGUUUUCAGGUCUGGGUGACUAAUUAGACUGGGAAACAAGGGCAGGAACGAUGGCCCUGUGCUUGCUCUGCCCGCUGCCUCUGUGGAUGUGUGGGCUGCUGGCUUCAGUCCUGCUUUUCUUUCUGAUGGUAUUGUUUAUGCUAUGUGUUUUUGCAGGAGGCCUGAGGUGGGCUGGGUUCUCCUCCUAUGGCAGGGCUUCACUCUCCUCCUCCUUCUCUGUUGGGGCUUCACUGUCCCUGGGAUAAGAAUAACAAUGCCAAGGUUUUCAUUCUUGAAAGGAGCAAUUAAGCGUCUCACCCCCUCCUCAUUUUAGAUGGGAACUGUGAGGGUCCCGUCAUUUACCCAGGGUCCCUGUUGAGGAUCUUGUCCUCAUUAGAUGACUUCUUGUGCAGCUUCCAUGCGUGAUUCUUUACUCUUGUGGCACUGAGAGGUUUGUACAUGUCUUUAAGCCAGAGCGGCUUUCUGAAUGAAAAAAGUCCAUCCUAGAAGAUAGAAAGGGAAAUAUUAAUUUUGCAUGUCCUCUGCUUUCCCUGGUCACAGCAAUGAAUCCUCCAAUGUACCUGACUCUCCCUUUGCGAAGAGCAUCUCCGUGGCAGAAAUCUGAAAAUGCCCCUGGGGAGACACAUGCACAAGACAGUUCGUGAGCCACACAUCUCCCCACACCAAGCUCCUCCAUACAAGACCUCGGACUGCAUCACGUAAAUGCUUUUUCAGGGGCAAAAUCUAGAGAAUCUGAAACGAGCUAUCAGCUUCCCAGUUUGCACAAUUCAUCAAGAAAUUAUGCGGGGUCACUGGCACAAAUGAUGAGGCAUCUCCUGGAAGCUUAACUUCUUAUCCAUCCCAUCUCUUGGACAGAUGAUGCCAGUUAAUUACUUUGAAUCCAAAAGAGACCUGCCAGCUACAGUCAGCAUCGGUCAACCAUCUGUGAAACUGUGAGCUGACAACUUGUCCCCUCCCGGCGAAGGCCACAACAUCCCAACACCAUUAGUCACCAAGGAAGUCUGGGAGAAGUUUCUACCAACUGUAGCGAAAAAGAGAAGACUCACUGGUGGCACCUGCAGCUGCGGCGUUUUCCCCAAGGGGUCUGUCACACGCAGCCCAACUCAACUGGAGUCCUGAGAAGGUGAACAGACCAGGAUGGAUGGCCAGGGAACUCACCAGAAGUCCCCAGGCAUCAGAACAAGGUCGAAGCAUCCUGAUUAGGGUACCAGAGGCCCAGGCAGUACUUUUGGGGUAGACGAGGUACAGACCUUUGGCUCCUCACUGUCUUCAAGCCCACAAGAAGCAUAGAGCAGAAGAAGACAGAGGAGGGCCCAUCUGGCCCACUACCUGUUCUUGUAAAUAAAGCUUUAUUGAAGCCAGGUGCUCACCUUCUAGCACAUUCUUCAAGAGUUACUCUGAGGCAAGCCAGCCGCCAUGUCAUGAGGACACUCAAGCAGCACCAUGGAGAGGUCCGAUGGCGAGGAACAGAGGAUCCCCCUGCCGACAGCCAAUGAGGAACAGGCCUCCUGCCAACAGCCGUGUAAGGGGUCACCUUGGAAGCCAAUGGCCCCUCCCUGGUCAGGCUUUUACAUGACUGCAGUCCUGGCCAACAUCCUGACGGCAACCUCAUGAGAGACCUUGAGCCAGAGCCACCCACCUAAGCUGCUUAUAGGUUCCUGGCCCUCAGAAAUCACAUGAGAUCAUAAAUGUUUGCUCAAUUUGAGAUAUUUGUGAUGUAGCAAUAAAUAACAAACACACUUA
rnacentral:lncRNA from 1 species